GCCAAAGAAUGUUUUUCAUUAAUCAAGAAACGAAAGUUAGAGGGUUCGAAAGGCGAUCAGAUACCGCCCUAGUUCUAACCGUAAAACGAUGACAACCAGCGAUUAGUCGGUGUUAAUAUACGACCCGACUAGCAGCUUCCGGGAAACCAAAGUUUUUCGUUUCCGGGGGAAGUAUGGUUGCAAAGCUGAAACUUAAAGGAAUUGACGGAAGGGCACCACCAGGAGUGGAGCCUGCGGCUUAAUUUGACUCAACACGGGAAAACUCACCCGGCCCGGACACCGUAAGGAUUGACAGACUGAGAGCUCUUUCUUAAUUCGGUGGGUGGUGGUGCAUGGCCGUUCUUAGUUGGUGGAGCGAUUUGUCUGGUUAAUUCCGAUAACGAACGAGACUCUGGCCUAUUAAAUAGUCGGUAUAUCCGGAAAAGUUUACCGUACUUCUUAGAGGGACAAACGGCGUCUAGCCGCGUGAAAUAGAGCAAUAACAGGUCUGUGAUGCCCUUAGAUGUCCGGGGCUGCACGCGCGCUACACUGAAAGAAUCAGUAUGCGCGUUUAACCUAGUCCGGAAGGAUUGGGUAACCCGAGCAAAUUCUUUCGUGCUUGGGAUAGGGAAUUGCAAUUAUUUCCCUUAAACGAGGAAUUCCCAGUAAAUGCGGGUCAUAAGCUCGCGUUGAUUACGUCCCUGCCCUUUGUACACACCGCCCGUCGCUACUACCGAUUGGAUGACUUAGUGAGGUCUUAGGACCGACGUAAA
rnacentral:rRNA from 1 species